CCAUAAGCCCUGAUGUAACUUAAACCACAAAUUUAAACUUCAAUCAAGGAGCAUCCCAUUGAC
rnacentral:sRNA from 1 species